UUAGUAAACAAAUAGAUUCGGUU
rnacentral:piRNA from 1 species